rnacentral:rRNA from 1 species
GAUGAACGCUGGCGGCGUGCCUAAUACAUGCAAGUCGAGCGAAUGGAUUAAGAGCUUGCUCUUAUGAAGUUAGCGGCGGACGGGUGAGUAACACGUGGGUAACCUGCCCAUAAGACUGGGAUUACUCCGGGAAACCGGGGCUAAUACCGGAUAACAUUUUGAACCGCAUGGUUCGAAAUUGAAAGGCGGCUUCGGCUGUCACUUAUGGAUGGAGCCGCGUCGCAUUAGCUAGUUGGUGAGGUAACGGCUCACCAAGGCAACGAUGCGUAGCCGACCUGGGAGGGUGAUCGGCCACACUGGGACUGAGACACGGCCCAGACUCCUACGGGAGGCAGCAGUAGGGAAUCUUCCGCAAUGGACGAAAGUCUGACGGAGCAACGCCGCGUGAGUGAUGAAGGCUUUCGGGUCGUAAAACUCUGUUGUUAGGGAAGAACAAGUGCUAGUUGAAUAAGCUGACACCUUGACGGUACCUAACCAGAAAGCCACGGCUAACUACGUGCCAGCAGCCGCGGUAA